rnacentral:rRNA from 1 species
UACGUAGGGUGCAAGCGUUAAUCGGAAUUACUGGGCGUAAAGCGUGCGCAGGCGGUUAUGCAAGACAGAUGUGAAAUCCCCGGGCUUAACCUGGGAACUGCAUUUGUGACUGCAUAGCUGGAGUACGGUAGAGGGGGAUGGAAUUCCGCGUGUAGCAGUGAAAUGCGUAGAUAGUGCGGAGGAACACCGAUGGCGAAGGCAAUCCCCUGGACCUGGUACUGACGCUCAUGCACGAAAGCGUGGGGAGCAAACGAGG